rnacentral:rRNA from 1 species
UACGAAGGGGGCUAGCGUUGCUCGGAAUUACUGGGCGUAAAGCGUGCGCAGGCGGUCUGUUAAGACCGAUGUGAAAUCCCCGGGCUUAACCUGGGAACUGCAUUGGUGACUGGCAGGCUUUGAGGUGUGGCAGAGGGGGGUAGAAUUCCACGUGUAGCAGUGAAAUGCGUAGAGAUGUGGAGGAAUACCGAUGGCGAAGGCAGCCCCCUGGGCCAACACUGACGCUCAUGCACGAAAGCGUGGGGAGCAAACAGG